GACGCCGCUGGCGGCGUGCUUAACACAUGCAAGUCGAACGAGUGGCGAACGGGUGAGUAACGCGUAUCAACCUGCCCUUCAGAGGGGGAUAACUACUGGAAACGGUAGCUAAUACCGCAUACCAUCGGAUGUGCCCAGAUGGGAUUAGCUAGUAGGUGGGGUAAAGGCUCACCUAGGCGACGAUCCCUAGCUGGUCUGAGAGGAUGACCGGCCACACUGGAACUGAGACACGGUCCAGACUCCUACGUGAGGCAGCAGUGGGGAAUAUUGCACAAUGGGCGCAAGCCUGAUCCAGCCAUGCCGCGUGUCUGAAGAAGGCCUUCGGGUUGUAAAGGACUUUUGUCAGGGAAGCGGUACCUGAAGAAUAAGCACCGGCUAACUACGUGCCAGCAGCCGCGGUAAUAC
rnacentral:rRNA from 1 species